rnacentral:rRNA from 1 species
AAAUUGAAGAGUUUGAUCAUGGCUCAGAUUGAACGCUGGCGGCAGGCCUAACACAUGCAAGUCGAACGGUAACAGGAAGCAGCUUGCUGCUUCGCUGACGAGUGGCGGACGGGUGAGUAAUGUCUGGGAAACUGCCUGAUGGAGGGGGAUAACUACUGGAAACGGUAGCUAAUACCGCAUAACGUCGCAAGACCAAAGAGGGGGACCUUCGGGCCUCUUGCCAUCGGAUGUGCCCAGAUGGGAUUAGCUAGUAGGUGGGGUAACGGCUCACCUAGGCGACGAUCCCUAGCUGGUCUGAGAGGAUGACCAGCCACACUGGAACUGAGACACGGUCCAGACUCCUACGGGAGGCAGCAGUGGGGAAUAUUGCACAAUGGGCGCAAGCCUGAUGCAGCCAUGCCGCGUGUAUGAAGAAGGCCUUCGGGUUGUAAAGUACUUUCAGCGGGGAGGAAGGGAGUAAAGUUAAUACCUUUGCUCAUUGACGUUACCCGCAGAAGAAGCACCGGCUAACUCCGUGCCAGCAGCCGCGGUAAUACGGAGGGUGCAAGCGUUAAUCGGAAUUACUGGGCGUAAAGCGCACGCAGGCGGUUUGUUAAGUCAGAUGUGAAAUCCCCGGGCUCAAC